rnacentral:lncRNA from 1 species
AUAGACAUAUUUUGGAUACAAAAUUUAGAAGAUGUUGCAACAUACAUGUGCGGCGUAACAAUUACAUCUACUACAAACAAAAUGACCAUGUGCUUCCAAAGCCGAUGGUCGAUUACAAAGUUUGCUCCAAGAUGUGUAACGUAACAAUUACAAAGUUUGCUUCCAAGCUGAUGAAGAGUACAAUAUCCACCGAGAUGCUCAAUUUCUUUCCACGCGUCAUGCCCAUCAAUGACCACCGCUCCAUGCUCACCGUCGGCAAAGCAUUUUCUUCCACUCCCAUCGGCAUUGGGGAAAUUUAGGAGGCAUGAAUUGUUUGAUUUGACUUCAAAUAGAACGCCUACAAAACAAUAUGAACAAGGAAAAUGAAGCAAAUUGAACAGUAUCGAAGCACAAGCCUUAGACAUAUGAAGGAAACUGUUGAAGAAACACAAUGUCACGGCCCCCUCUACCUCAUCCCCACAAGAAGGCACCACCGAGGAGACCGGCCCACUUAGGCCCAGGCGGAAGAGGAAGCCCAGCGCCAGGUACGACCCAGCGACCUGGGAGCUGGGACAGCAACAAAAGGGGGCGACCACCAAGUGAGAAGGGUAUCGGAUGUAAUAGGCUACUGGCUCUUACCCCUUCCCCAAUUCUUCUCCUUCCCCGAUCCCCUUUGCUGUUCUUCAUCCCCAACCUCAAUUCUCUCUGGAUCUGUAUCGGCUACCUAUGAGACGAGUGAAUUAGAUCGAGUGCCCUAACACAUGGUAUCAGAUUUGCCAGAUUACCUCAAAAAGCCCACCUAUUCCACUCGCCAGAAACAACAAGCAACCGAGAUGGAGCAGCAACUCACCGAUCUCGCAGACGCGAUGGCGAAGAUCCAGGAACAGACGGCCGCGAUCCAGCAGUCGGUCGCAGAGAUCAAGCCGGCGGUGUUGGAUCUCGCGGCGUGGCGGCCCGCGAUGGAGAAAUCGGUGGAGGAGCUGCAGACCGAUCUGGGCGGCCUCCACACCCAGAUCGCGCAGGUCACGCGCAACCCCGUGCUCUCCAUCAAGCCGGCGGAUCUCCCUCCGCUGAUUCCGCGCGUCCCUGAUAACCCACAAGUAUAGGGGAUCGCAACAGUUUUCGAGGGUAGAGUAUUCAAUCAAAUUUAUUGAUUCGACACAAGGGGAGCCAAAGAAUAUUCUCAAGUAUUAGCAGUUGAGUUGUCAAUUCAACCACACCUGGAUAACUUAGUAUCUGCAGCAAAGUAUUUAGUAGCAAAGUAGUAUGGAAGUAACUAUAACAGUAGAAAAAGUAAUAUUUUUGGGUUUUGUAGUGAUUGUAACAGUAGCAACGGAAAAGUAAAUAAGCGAAGAACAAUAUGUGAAAAGCUCAUAGGCAUUGGAUCGGUGAUGGAGAAUUAUGCCGGAUGCGGUUCAUCAUGUAACAAUCAUAACAUAGGGUGACACAGAACUAGCUCCAAUUCAUCAAUGUAAUGUAGGCAUGUAUUCCGAAUAUAGUCAUACGUGCUUAUGGAAAAGAACUUGCAUUGAC